rnacentral:RNase_P_RNA from 1 species
AUAGCAGGCCGGCCUAUCGCUCAUAUCUGUUGAUUUGGGAGGAAAGUCCGGGCAAUAAAGGGCAUCACGCUUCUUAACGGGAAGAUACUUGUGAAAGUAUAGUAAUGUAGCAGAAAAUAACCGUCUUGCCUGGCAAGAUAAGGGUGAAAAGGUGAGGUAAGAGCUCACCAGUGGUUUAGGCAACUAAAUCAGCUGUACAUCUCGUGAAUUGCAAGACCAUGUAUAUCUCGAUCUCCGAAAGGACACAGAGCUGCUCGUUCUGGUUUCCAUAUAGAAAGUCGGGAGGGGUAGGUCGCUGGAAAUUGCGGGUGACCGUAGUUCAAGACAAAUGAUAGGCGCCUUUCCGUUGUGAAGGGAACAGGACCCGGCUUACAGGCUUGCUAUUUUU